rnacentral:snRNA from 1 species
AUACUCUUGUUUCUCUUCAGAGCGUAUAAAUCUUUCGCCUUUUACUAAAGAUUUCCGUGGAGAGGAACACUUUGAGUUCAAUCUAAUUUUUUGAUGCCCUACCUCGUGCGGGGCU